AGUGAACGCUGGCGGUAGGCCUAACACAUGCAAGUCGAACGGCAGCACAGUAAGAGCUUGCUCUUACGGGUGGCGAGUGGCGGACGGGUGAGGAAUACAUCGGAAUCUACUUUUUCGUGGGGGAUAACGUAGGGAAACUUACGCUAAUACCGCAUACGACCUACGGGUGGAAGCAGGGGAUCUUCGGACCUUGCGCGAUUGAAUGAGCCGAUGUCGGAUUAGCUAGUUGGCGGGGUAAAGGCCCACCAAGGCGACGAUCCGUAGCUGGUCUGAGAGGAUGAUCAGCCACACUGGAACUGAGACACGGUCCAGACUCCUACGGGAGGCAGCAGUGGGGAAUAUUGGACAAUGGGCGCAAGCCUGAUCCAGCCAUACCGCGUGGGUGAAGAAGGCCUUCGGGUUGUAAAGCCCUUUUGUUGGGAAAGAAAAGCGGCAGGUUAAUACCCCGCUGUUCUGACGGUACCCAAAGAAUAAGCACCGGCUAACUUCGUG
rnacentral:rRNA from 1 species